rnacentral:rRNA from 1 species
UACGGAAGGCAGCAGGGGGAAUAUUGCGACAAUGGGCGCAAGCCUGAUGCAGCCAUGCCGCGUGUAUGAAGAAGGCCUUCGGGUUGUAAAGUACUUUCAGUCGUGAGGAAGGUGUUAAGGUUAAUAACCUUAGCAAUUGACGUUAGCGACAGAAGAAGCACCGGCUAACUCCGUGCCAGCAGCCGCGGUAAUACGGAGGGUGCGAGCGUUAAUCGGAAUUACUGGGCGUAAAGGGCACGCAGGCGGUUAAUUAAGUUGGAUGUGAAAUCCCCGGGCUUAACCUGGGAAUGGCAUUCAAGACUGGUUAGCUAGAGUCUUGUAGAGGGGGUAGAAUUCCAUGUGUAGCGGUGAAAUGCGUAGAGAUGUGGAGGAAUACCGGUGGCGAAGGCGGCCCCUGGACAAAGACUGACGCUCAUGUGCGAAAGCGGUGGGGAGCAAACAGGGAUUAGAUACC